rnacentral:rRNA from 1 species
CCCUGUGAGUAGGUUCCUUCAUUGGGGCUGAAAGCGCCUACGCAUCAACCAUAUGCUUACGGGACGUCGGUCAAAGUUACUGUGAACAAACCAGCGUGUCCAAAACAGGCUUUCGCCUGAAUGUUCGAGCAUGGAAUAACAAGGGAUCGAUUCUCUCGGUUCUUUUUGUUGGUUUUUAACCCGAGAAGGAGUAAUUCAGGCCACGGUGUCUGGGCUGGGUUCCCC